rnacentral:ncRNA from 21 species
UCAAUCACAGGCAAUGAGGUCUGCCUCAAACCGCUUCUUAGCAAGCUGAUGACUUCUACUUAACC